AGAUGAUUCCUAGAUGAUCUAACCUGGCCCAUUUGCAUGCAAGUGGAAAAGAGAAGAAAAAAGGCGAAGAACCCCACGGGUCGUCUUUCUUCUUCAAUCUUCUCCAUACUCCUCCUCCUCUGUCUACUCCACCGGGUGGUAGUAGAAAAGGGCAGCUGCCUUUGAAACCCAGCACAAUACUGCAGAGAGAUGAAACAGAAAUGUAAUCAAAUUAAAGGAAAGUAAGACCAUUCAUGUAUUGUAGGAUUAUCAUCCUGGUAACUUUGUUAAUUCAUAUCAUUCUAAAUUUUCUCUAUUGAAUUUUACCAGAUGUGAAAUCAGGAUAAAAUUCUGGAAUUGUUUCAGAUAUCGGAGGGGUUAUCAGAUGAUGAUUUCCCGCAUACUGAAGAAAAGGGGUUUGUGCCAGACAGAUGAACAUUUCAUGAACAAAAUAACCAAGUUCUAUAUAUGUAGUUUUAAUUCAUUUGCCCAAACGAGAAAAUGAUGCUCAAUGCACAAAAUGAAACCAGUGCAUGCCGCAUUUCUCAUUGAUUUAAGUCUUUAUUCCAGGAAUCUUUUGACAACGGAAGACGAUAUGAACUCCUUGAAAACGUUGAAAAUGAAGAAGGAAUCAACUGAAUUGUUCCUGCUCUGAAAGUGGGUUACUUAUUCAUGAUUGAUUAAAAUGCUUCAUUCAGUGCAGUGAGUUUGAAGCACUGAUCAGGAUAUCAAAAGAAUAACAGAAUCACCCGUGUUUUUGGAAGAGCCGCGAGCAUAGCAGUGGUCCAAUCGGAGCAUUUCAGAUUGGAAUAUUGAAAUGAUUGUUUCUGCUGUAUUCUUGUAGGAAAUCCUUUGUUUUCUUGUUUUCGCUGUGUUGGCGGAGUAUCAGGCGGGUCUAGCGGGAGAAUUAUGCUUCAUCUCAAAACCUACCUUUGCAUUGAGACGUUCUAUCUACAUCAGUUUCAAACCGUAGUACUUUUAUCGUCCGUAACCGAGGCCGAUCUCGCGAUUCAGAUUACUGCCUGCCGACUGGAAGAAAUCACGAGCACCAAAGGAAAGUAUGGAUUCAGAGAAACCGUGCAAAGAAGCCGAAGGAAACUAAGAAACAAUGAAAAGUCUCGGGCAUCAGGAGAACCUCGAGGAAUUCGGAGCCAUAGAUGAGCUCAGCGGGAAGAGCAGGCAAGGCCGCGCGAACCUGCCACGGCCACGUCGACAUAAACCUCGCCGCCGUCGAUUUACCACUGUCGACGGAACAGAGGAUAUAACGCCUGAAAAUCUGAACUGCCUCUGUUCCGAUCUCCCAUCCUCCGGAAUUCGAUCACACAUCCGGUCAGCCUACAAUGCAGGAACUCCUCCUUGGAUCCCUCCACUCUCCGAACACUAGCCGAGGAUAAUCCAUCGCCUCUCCAAAGGACAAGGUCAUAAUCUCCUCGACAUCUAGGAGAAUUUUUUUUCUCACACCAUCCACGCUCUAAGAGACGAACAUUCACAUUGUUCAACGCAUUUCUACAGUAUUCUUCAUCUCACCGUCUCCAUCUCCAUCAGAACUGAGAUUACGCUCCCGCAAGAUCGAAGUAAACGCCAUGCCUGUGAAAUUUGGAAAGAAAAAGUUGCGAAAAAUUGACAAUCAUACUAUCUCCAUCAUGAAAUAACACCUUCCGAUUCUUCAGAUCUAGUGAAAAAAUUACCCAAUCCGAUCCUCAUUUACCGAACAGCGAGUAGCCCCGACUAACAGACGAGGUAGCAAAAAAAAUCCCAAUGAAGCUC
rnacentral:lncRNA from 1 species